rnacentral:lncRNA from 1 species
CUCUGGAAACGAAUAUUUCUCCUCCUUUUCAGAAAUUUUGAUUUAUUUUCAGCCUAAAUUCAGUCAGUUGGAACAAAAAAAUUCUUUAGAAAGAUGAUUUUCUCAAACUGUCGCUCAUCGAAGUGGUCUUGAAUCCUCAUAAUUUUGUCCAACCAUAAUAGCGAAAACAAACAGUUAUAAAACACCUUCGCGUGCAAAAAAAAUCAAUGUAUGCAAGGCCACUCAUAUUUGUCCCUUUUUUCACACAUAAUCGGUCUGCUUUUCCUUGACUUUGUCCAUAGUAUGUCCACAUCCUAGUGCGUGCAAAUAAAAGAGCGGAGCGCCUAGCGGUUCAGGCCCAAACAGUGAUAUCUUGCUGGGAAAAAAAGAAAAGCUAAAGAACAAGGCAAAGCAGGAAAAUAGACAAGACAAAGAAAAUAGGGUUUUUGGUAGCGUGCCACCCAUCCUCCCACUCUCCCUGGUUAUAUAGUCCCCAGAGGAGCCACGCGUCCCAUAAUUCUCAUACAAGUUGCUUAAUUGUUUUUAGGACAAGUUAAUUAAUCAUUGCAUCUCAACCGUUGGAUUACACCACUGCAUCCACAAAAUGACCACCUCUAUCAUUACUUGACUCUUCCAAAAUAGUAAAAGUCUUCCUUCAAAACUCAGGAUCACGCAGACCUGUCCAGUUAAGAAGAUUAAAAAAAACUUGUCAGUUGGAAGUUUUGGGCCUAUGAGGCAAAUAAAAGCAACUAGACACAUGGAGUUUCAUUUUGGCAUGAAGUAUCAAUACAGCAACUGAAACUUGCACAGAUUAAGAAACUAGCAGUCAGAGUAUCCGACCUAGAUAGUAGACGGUAUGGGCUAUUGUCAGUGUAAUUUUAACCAGGUGCGGAACUGUGUACCCAGCAGCCAGGGCUGCAGCCCUGGUCUGGGCCCGUGUAGUACUGGUAACCCAUUCAGAUUUUUUACUGAAAAUUGCAAUUCACAGGAGUUUAACCCGUGUUAAGGAGUCGGAAGGCCAAGGGCUAACAACAACCAGGUUGUCAAUUAAUUUGUUCACAGCGCACUGCGCAGCCCCACGCCCGUUGCCUCCGUCCCACACUCCGGCAUUCCGCUGGAAUUAUGGGCUCGUCGCCUCCAACGGGCGGCUGGUGUCUUAUUUGGUGCUCUUGGUUUUUAGGUAAUUGUUUGCCUUUCCAAUCGUUUCCUCUUAUUUGAUUACUAUUUCCAAAUACUGAUAUUAGGGGUUAGACACUUUGAUUAACUGGUUUUAUUCAAUCUGACAACGUAGACAUAGAAAAUGAAUUGAGCAAAGAUGUUAGAAUCUUUCUAAUCACGACAAAUGUCAUCUUAGUUUCAUCAGCUUCACAAUUCGCCAAUUCUGGGCUCAGGUAUUCCAAAUAGAUGUGAACAGAAACCAGAUGGUUGGUUGGGCCGACUAGACACUCAGCCACAACAAGACAUCCUAAUCAUUGUGGUCAAUCAGGAAUCCUGGUGUUGAGUUUAAUCUAGAUGACAUUCUCGCAGAUAGUAGCCUUCACAAGCCAGUUGAAGAGAUACGUUUAAAUAUUUGAAAUACUUGUAGGUGGGAGUAUUUUCUAUUAAUUCUGCGCUAACCAGUUGGUCACAAUUUUUCUAUGAAAUUAGCAACAAACCAUACUAUGAGAUUUCAGAAAGAAUUUUUAAAAAUAUCAUAUGAUCGAAUGUAAUAUAGUGUCAAUUAAGAUGACAUGGUAUGUUUUUUUUUUACUUUUAGGAUUUUUACUUUUUUGCCAGUAGGAUUUAGCCCUGGUCGUACCCGAAUCCUUGGUCUGCCACUGUUUUUAACUAUAUAUGAGAACAAAAUAAAUGUUUUCCGCAAACCAAAGCCCAUCGUGGCCUCUAUAAAAGAAGAAUAACAGGCCAAAAGUAGACUAGGAUCAAAAGCUACAAAAAAUGGACUACUCUCAACUGACUCAUAAUUUUCCUGACACAUGAACACUCUUAGAUACACAAGUAAACAGAGAUAAACGACAAACAUCAUCCGAAAUAUUGCAGGCUAAUUAUGUAAUUAGAUGUAUUAGUCGCCUCAUUAAUGCUUCAAAUGAACAGAAAAUCAUGUAUUGUAGGAAUGAAAAAUAUAUUUUGAAAUAAACUGUUAAGCCUCGCAUAAAACAUGUCUUCAGUUACUGGUUCUAGAUCACCAAGUAGUCAUCUAAUUGAUUGUUGCAAUUAAACCACACCGCACCCGACACAACUAUGCAAAAAAAAAAUCGGCGCCAUCCACAAAUUGCAACUACAGCACAUGUAAGCAAAACCAGCAAUUUACCUGAUAAGUCUUCACUGGCUGCCACGGCCAAACCUCCUGCCAUAAUGGGGUGCUCUGCGGCGGCGGCGGCCGUUCCUUCAAGGGUACAGCACAAGCAAUUAAUAAUAGCAGGGCAUGUAUUUGAUAAAGCUCAUGUUUUUUCGAGCUAUAUAAUUCUAAAAGUUAUAUAAUGGUUGUUAGUCUUGGUAGCAUCAGUGCAGCCUGACAAAAAUAAUUGAGAACACAGCUUAAAAUUUGCUUAUCAAGGAAACAGACAAACAUUUAUUAGUCAAUCCCACUUAAUUUAAGAUCAUCCAGUCAUAAUUCUACAAACUGCUCCAGGUAUACAUGGUCAUUUCGAAAUAUAUAGAUGAACUACUGAUCUUACUAGCAACAUACUCCAACAAUUAUUACUCCUAGGCUCACAAACAUCUUACAAGCAACAGCUCAUCAUUGUCACACAAUAAUAAUUUUGCCCCAAUAAUUAUCAAACUCGAAGCAUGCAAACAGUCAAUAAGGCGUUGUUAUAUGCACAUUUGCUGCUUACAAUACUGUGUCGUGUAGUAUUAGAAAGGAAGUGAUGUGAUAUAAGCCCCAACAAGCCAACAAGGGAAGCACAGUUGAUUCAACCAAAAGGGAUAAUCACCAACUAAAUUCUGUUUCUGAAAGGAACAAGAUCGCGCAAAGAUAUCCUGAGAAUCACUCAGCACAUUUCUAUUCAUUCAUUAGUUGGUGCAUGAAUGUGAAACAUUAAGGAAGGUGAAACAAUCAACAAGGAUUGUUCAAGUGCGUAAUAUAACCCAAACCUCCCAACCUGCAUCUACUAGUUGAAUGAGGUAACGGUAAGUUUAUACUCCCUCUGUCCCAAAAAAGAUGUCGCAAAGUUGUCUAAAUUUGGAUGACACAAUUUAGUGUAUAGAUACAUCCAAAUUUUGACAAAUCUGAGACAUCUUUUUUGGGACGGAGGGAGUAACUAUCACGACCAGUUGCGAAAAUAACUUCUUCCAUCAUCGGCAACUCAAUGUCUGUCAAAUUUAAGUUACUUAAUAUGAUAAGUUGGCUACCACUAGUGAUGAAAGUAGCCUCUAGCAAAAUCUACUUAAAAUUGCUAUAUGGUUGCACAGAAAAACAUAUCCAUAUGACAAUUUAAUGCAGAACAAUAGGGAAGCAUCACUAGACCAACGCUAAAACAUGCAUCACCCAAUCAGCUGCCUAUAAGUUAGGAAGGGGAUCGCUGGGAUGUAAACAGGCUCAAAUCAGCAUAGCUUCCGCGGUAGAAAACAUGGAAAGAAAACGAAAGAACGUGGUCCGCUCCCACCUCCUCGAGCCCUAACCCUAGCCCCCUACCUCUAGCUUCGUCGAAACCCCGUUGAUAGCCCUCCCCUCCCCGGCGCAAUGUCCUCCAACGGCAGUUGUGGCGACCACCACCGCCGCGAGGAUCGCUGGCUGGCCACCGAGGACGGGUCUUCCAGCUCAGCCUCGCGUGGCUACAUCGAGCUUGCCCGCUCCCUACCUUGCGCCCCUCCCCAGCCUCGUCGCCGUUGCGUUAGCCCGCGGUCGUGGCACCCAACCCUCGUCAUGCCCACACCUCCACCUGCCUCAGCACCCGCUCUGAGGUCCACAGCGUCACGCCUCGCAGGCCAGACACCGAUGGCUACGAGAGGCUCAGGCGCAAAAGCCACCAAUAGCGCCGCCCUCGACACGCUGACGAGGCCCAUCCAAGCUAUUGUAGCCCCACACUAGAUGAGGAGAAAAGCCUCUGUUUCCACUGCCACAAGCAUGGCCAUCCAACACGUGGCUGCCCUAACAAAACCAUGUGUCGUUGUUGCCUACUCUCAGGCCAUCGCUCUCGAGAUUGCACGCCGAAGACGCAUGCCCAGGACCGCACUGAAGCUCGUGUACUGGUGCAGGGAACGACGACACCACUGCCAUGCAGCAGGCUGCACGCAACACUCCUCUAUCACCUUUGCCCCCUCAGCCAGCACGGGUCAUCGUGUCCGGCUCCAUCGAGAUCGAGGAGACCGAGAGGGUCCUGCAGCACGCCAUGAUCGUCUCUAUCAUGUGUACCAGGCCGACGGUGUCCAUGGAGCAGGUGGAGAUAGUCCUCGAUAACUCCCUAGAGCUCCUCCCUGGUGAUUUCUCCGGCCACAUCCACAACCCAAAGGACUUCCUCAUCCUCUUCAACUCCAAGCCCGCGCAUGGCCGCCUCACCGGCGAACACUUCAUCAGCAACCCGAGUUUCACCUUCUCUCUCCGGCCUUGGCAGGCUAGCGCACGCCAACCAGAACAGGUUGGAUCACCGUGUCGAGCUUGAGCUUUGUGGCAUCCCUUCCCAUGCAUGACAUGUUUACAUGGCCGAGCACCUCCUUGGCGCAGGCUGCUCGUUCGAGCAACUACACCCAGACAUGUGCUCGCGAGCCAAUCUCGAAGUCUUCCGGUUGAUAACACGCACCAGCGACCCGGCGAGCAGACGCGAGCUCGCAUUGUCUUGGAUAUCAUGGAGCUGAUCCCUGCCCUAGCAACACUCUGACGUACCUAGUCAACAUCCGCCUCGUCGGCUCCAUUUCCCUGCAAGACAUGGUGAUCCAAGCAGCACCUGCUGAUGACCGCAACGAUGUUAGCGGAGACGCUAGUGGCGAGGCCGGUCUGGUGAUGAUCCUGUGGAUUCAAGCCGCACGCGUCGCCGGGGACACAAGAAGCGUUGCACUGGCGCCCCCAAUGGCAUGUCCUUGGACACCCCUGGGUGGACAAGGCUAGCCCCCCUCCCCCCCCUGGUGGGGUGGCCGAAGUGGCUAUUAUCGACGGCGGCUCAAACAUGCGUCGUGGCCGCCGUGGAACGAGCAUGGAAAGUUAGAUGGACCCAUGGCUUGGAUAGCGUGGGGCCUGUCGCCCUUGUCACCAUGCCAAAAAAGAAAACGGGAAAAGCGCCAAAAAGCGCUCUCGGACAAGGAGCCCAGCAAGAGACGGAGACAUCUUGGCCCCCAUGCCAACAAAAUCGUCCUCCACGCCUGGCACCAACGACCCCGAGACACCUAGGGCCUCCCCGUUUGCUCUUUGUCCCUCCUGCCUAGGGCAAAGCGAACCUUCGACCACACUGCAACGACCACUCCCACCGCGAGGCAGGAAUCAGACUCGCCAACAACCCCACCGGCUUCGAUUAGCGUCGUGCACAAUUUGCUAUCCUAUGGACGUUGCACAAGCUCGAAGGCGGAUCCCUUGUCGGGCAAAGCGAUGUCUCGCCCACCAUUGCCCCUGUUGCCGGUUUGGUAGCUUCUGCCAAUCGUUCGCCAACGACCCCAAUGGCUUCGGUCGCUGUCGUGCCCGAUUUGUUAUCCUAAGGACACAACACGAGCCCUGAGGCGGAUCCAUUGUCAGUGAAAAGCGAUGCCUCGCCCAUCUAUGUCCCUGCCGCCGGUUUGGUAGCUUGUGUUGACCAUUCCACAACGUUAGAGUUGACGAACAGCGCCAGCAAAGAUGGGCCAAAGACACGCGAGAAGCCCACAACCUCAAAGGACGAUCCUCCACCAGCCCAUGGCCCAUCGCGAUUCAAAUGUCGUCAGCGAGGAUUCAACCCCAUGCGAGAGGCCCAGCCCGUGACGGAUGGCACGCAGACCCUGGCUCUGACACCAUCUCCUUAUGCGUCCAAGACUUGGAUGUCGCCACAGAUCACCAUCAGCCGCUCACGCCAGCGCGCACCGAAGACGUGGACGCUCGGAGAUUUCCUCACUGAGGCGACCAAGCACCUGAACGCCACACUGCCAACGCUACGGAGGCGCCCACAACGACAACUCAUGCUCCGCGCCCCAAUCGAUCGACAGACACCUCAUGCUCUUAGACCGGCGAGCCACCCACGACAGAACGCCAUGCGCGAGUCUAGAAGUUUUGCACCCUAGGGAUCAUCGGAGCCAACCAGAAAAUCACAGUCAUCGGGGGAGUUUCACACCCUAGGGAUCAUUGGAGCCAGCCAGAAGAUCACAGUCAUCGAGGAAUAAAACAUACUAUGGCUUCUUCGCGACGCUAAUCCCAUACGGUGGGACCUCGACGUGCUGUCCCUCAUCUUCUGGCGCGAGGGCGGCCGCCGCGUGCACUGGACGGGCCUUGGCAGCACCGGCGCAUCUUUGCAGCUCCACCUGAUGGCAGCCGCCCUCGACGAGGCGCACCCCCUCCUGGCCGACCUACUGCAGCAGCACAACGACAUCUUCGACGAGCCACAGGGCCUCCCUCCCUCGCGGCCCUGUGACCACCGCAUCCACCUGCUGCCGAACAUGGCGCCUGUUGCCGUUCGUCCGUACCGGUACCCCUAGCUGCAGAAGGACGAGCUCGAGCGUCAGGUGGCGGUCAUGCUCGCGCAGGGCAUCAUUCGGAUUUCGACUUCACUGUUCUUCGCUUCGGUGCUCCUUGUGCGUAAGGCCGAUGGCACGUGGCGCUUCUGCAUCGACUUUCGCGCCCUCAACACCAUGACGUCCAAGGACAAGUUCCCCAUCCCCGUAGUGGAUGAGCUCCUGGACGAGCUACACGGCGCGCGCUUCUUCACCAAGCUUGACUUGCGCUCGGGCUAUCAUCAGGUGCGGAUGCCCCCGGACGACAUCGCGAAGACAGCGUUCCGCACUCACCAUGGCCACUUUGAGUUCUUGGUGAUGCCGUUCGGCCUCUCCAACGCGUCGGCGACUUUUCAGGCCCUGAUGAACGGCGUGCUCAGCCCCUACUUACGCCGCUUUGUGCUUGUUUUCUUUGAUGAUAUUCUUAUCUACAGUGCAUCCUGGGCGGAGCACCUGCAGCACGUGGCCAUCAUCUUCAACGAGCUUCGAGCGCAUCGUCUUCAUCUCAAGCGCUCAAAGUGCUCGUUUGGCACGACCUCCGUCGCGUACCUGGGCCACGUCGUCUCGGCGGACGGUGUCGCGAUGGACGCGGACAAGGUCGCUGUUGUUGCCGCGUGGCCGACUCCGCAGUCGCCGCGGGCUCUUCGCGGUUUCUUGGGCCUCGCGGGAUACUACCGGAAGUACAUCCAGGACUUCGGCCUCAUCGUUGCGCCCCUCACGCGCCUCCUUCGCCGCGACGCCUUCUCUUGGGACAAGGAGGCGCCUACGGCGUUCGCCGCCCUAUAGCGGGCGCUCACGACGGGCCCCGUCCUCCAGAUGCCGGACUUCGACGUGCCGUUCAUGGUGGACUGCGACGCCUCCGGCAUCGGCUGCGGCGCCGUCCUCCACCAGGGCGAGGGGCCGCUGGCCUUCUUCAACCGUCCCUUCGCCGCGCGUCAUCACAAGCUCGCCGCGUAUGAGCGUGAGCUGAUCGGGCUGGUCCAGGCAGUGCGCCACUGGCGGCCUUAUCUUUGGGGCCGGACAUUCCGUGUGCGCACGGACCACUACAGCCUGAAGUUCUUGCUGGAUCAGCGCCUCUCCACCGUGCCGCAGCAUGAGUGGAUCAGCAAGCUCUUCGACUUCGACUUCGUCGUAGAGUACCGCCUCGGUCGCCCCAACACGGUCGCCGACGCCCUGUCCCGCCGUGACGCCAACGACGUGACCGACGCCCCCACAGUAGGCGCGGUCUUCUGCAUCCACUCCGGGCCAUCCUUCGCCUUCAUCGACGACAUCCGCCGCGCUACUUCGACGGCCGCGGACGCGCAGCAGCUGCGCCAGCGCCUGGCCGACGGCGAGCUGGCCGCGCCGUGGCGCCUAGACGAGGGGCUGCUCCUCCAUGGCCGCCGCAUCUUCGUGCCUGAUCAUGGCGACCUGCGCCACCAGGCCUUGGCCUUGGCGCACUCUGCAGGACACGAGGGCGUGCAGAAGACCCUUCAUCGUCUCCGCGCUGAUUUUUACAUACCCUGGUGCGCGACUGGUUGCGGUCGUGUGUGACGUGCCAGCGGAACAAGACGGAGACACUCAGGCCGGCGGGUCUACUGCAGCCGCUGGACGUGCCCUCCCAGGUGUGGGCGGACAUCUCCAUGGACUUCAUCGAGGGGCUGCCGAAGGUUGGCGGCAAGUCCGUCAUCCUCACGGUGGUUGAUCGCUUCUCCAAGUACACGCACUUCAUCGUCCUCGGUCAUCCCUACACGGCUGCUUCGGUGGCACGCGCCUUCUUCAACGGCAUCGUCCGGCUUCCCGUCUUCCAUCGUCAGUGACCGUGACCCUGUGUUCACGGGCCACGUCUGGCGGGAUCUCUUUGGGUUGGUGGGCGUGAAGCUCCGCAUGAGCACGGCGUUUCAUCCCCAGACGGAUGGCCAAUCCGAGGUCGUCAACAAGAUCAUCGCCAUGUACCUGAGCUGCAUUACUGGAGAUCGUCCACGAGCUUGGGUGGACUGGCUGGCAUGGGCGGAGUACUGCUACAACACUUCCUAUCACUCCGCGUGCACACCACGCCCUUCGAGGUGGUCUAUGUGCGGCCACCUCCAGCGAUGCUUCCAUAUGCGCCUGGCACGGCGUGGACUGACACGGCGGACGACUUGCUCCGUACCCGCGACGAGAUACUGGCUGAGGCGCGCCAGCGACUUCUUCAGGCACAGCAGCUGGCUCGGACGUACUAUGAUGCGCAUCAUCGCGAGGCGGAGUUCGCGAUGGGCGACUGGGUGUGGUUGCGCCUCCUCCACGGGACGGCCCAGUCUUUGGACCCGCGCUCCAAGCGCAAGUUGGGGCCUCGCUACGCCGGCCCCUUUCAUGUGCUGGAGCGUGUUGGCACGCUUGCCUACCGCCUUGAGCUACCUCCAGGGUCUCGCCUCCAUGACGUCUUCAACGUGGGCCUCCCGAAGGCCUACCGUGGCGACCCGCCUACUGCGCCACCAGCUCUUCCUCCUACUUCGGAUGGACGUCUCGCGCCCGCUCCUGCAACUGUGUCCCGAGUGAUGCAGGCGUAGCAGCGCCGCAGUGUGUGGCACGUCUUGGUGCAUUGGACAGGCAUGCCGGAGGAAGAAGCGACUUGGGAGAAGCUUGAUGAUUUCCGCCAGCAGUUUCCAGAAGUUCAGCUCGAGGACGAGCUGUUUGAGAAGGCGGGGAGAGAUGUUAUGGUCGGUCUUACGUAUAGCCGUAAUAAGCCCACUAGUGGCUAGUUAUGGGCUUAGCCCAAGUUAUCUAGGGUUUAGAGGAGGCUGUCCUCCUAUAUAAACAUAUGUACCCCUUCGUGAUUAAUCAGACAAUAAACAGUAUUAAACUGUCGUCUCCUUCAGGGAGACGGGAGACCCCAAACCCUAGCCGCCUCCUGCCCUAGCGCCGCCUCCUCCUCACCCGCGCAGCGGCGGCGCACCGCCUGCGCCAGCGCCCCCAACUCCUUCGCCCUCACUUCCACCCCUACAACCUUCGUCCGAGACCUGGUAGAACCCUAGCCUCUACCAUUGACAUCUUGGAAUUUGGGUUAAAGAGGUUGUUCAUCAAACAUGUUUGAUUACUGUGAAAGCUCGAAACCCACUGCUGGGAAAAAAAUGCAAAGUGGUCUGCUCCUAUUAGUGGGGUCACAAAAAUUAACUUUGAUGCAGCCUAUGAUGCAGGAUCUACUCAUGCUGCUACCGGCGUCGUGGCAAGAAUAUCUGAUGGUGAGUUUGUGCUAGCUGCUGCAAGGGGAUACGACAAUAUUCAAAAUCCCCUGACAGCUGAAACACUCGCUUUUAGAGAUGCAAUUACUGAAGCAGUCAAAGAAGGAUGGCAGCAUGUCCAUUUUGAAACAGCUUGUCAAAUAGGUAGUGGAGAAGCUAAGGAAAAUGCUAGUAACUUAGUUCCCCUUAAAGGCGACUGGUAUUGUUUGGUUGUUCCUUCACCAUAUGAUGCUUGAUUUGUAUAACUUGAUUCUGUUUUACCAUAGCAUAAAGUACCAGGCCUAUGACAUACUUUCCUCUUUCUCAACUUUAAUCUUUCUGAUGUCCAUUUUUUAACAAAAUCCAUUGAGUCAUUGUAUAAAUAAACUGGCUUGAUAACUUAUUUAUAGAGACAAACGCUUGCCACGGGCGUUCUUUUGUUCAGGGUUUCAAACUGUGACAUUAUUCCUUCCAUUAGAUUUACUGUUGCUAGUUCUCGUUCUAACCAUUAUUAUUUUUGUAGGCGUGACCGUGUGAAACGCACAAAGGCUAAAGCAAAGACUGAAUCUAUGCAUGUGGCUGACGAACAUCACAACCCACUCUAACAUAUAUUAAUCGCCUAUCUACCACUGAAACAACUCCAUCUUGGAGGGAAUUGCUGUUUCCUCAAAGUCGCACCAAGAAGCGUAAACAGAACGAGAAGACUAACAAAAUUACCGUGUAUGCCAUCACCAACAAGCCAGAUUCAUUUCAGAGCAAACGAACACCCUCCCUUUCUCUCGCGCCUCUCCCCUCAGCAACAAGUGAAGGUGCAGCAAGCUCACCUGAAGCAGCCGAGUCCGUACAGGAUGACGAACACGGCAAGGGCCCCUGCGAUGAGGAUGAGGAACUCUCGGCCCCUGCCGAGUCCGGGUGCGCCGGGAGGGCGCUUGGUGCCCAGGGUGAGGGCGCCGCCACCGGGAGACGAAACCUUCGACAUUUCGCGCUUUGGAUACUCAGGGAGGAGGGAUUCGCCGGGGAGGAGGAGGGGCUCGCUCGGAUUUCUCUCGCUUAGGUUCGGGGGGGAAAGGCAGCUUCUUCUUGCGCUAG